rnacentral:rRNA from 1 species
GACGAACGCUGGCGGCGUGCUUAACACAUGCAAGUCGAACGGAAAGGCCCCUUCGGGGGUACUCGAGUGGCGAACGGGUGAGUAACACGUGAGUAACCUGCCCUUGACUUCGGGAUAACUUCAGGAAACUGGGGCUAAUACCGGAUAGGAAUCCUUGCUGCAUGGUGGGGGUUGGAAAGCUUCGGCGGUUUUGGAUGGACUCGCGGCUUAUCAGCUUGUUGGUGGGGUAGUGGCUUACCAAGGCCUUGACGGGUAGCCGGCCUGAGAGGGCGACCGGCCACAUUGGGACUGAGAUACGGCCCAGACUCCUACGGGAGGCAGCAGUGGGGAAUAUUGCACAAUGGGCGGAAGCCUGAUGCAGCAACGCCGCGUGCGGGAUGACGGCCUUCGGGUUGUAAACCGCUUUCAGCAGGGGCGAAGCUUGUGGUGAUGGUACCUGCAGAAGAAGCACCGGCUAACUACGUG